GCCACGGCUAGGCCGAUCACCGAACGCGGGGCCACCUUUCACCCGCUGCCGUGGCAAUUUCACGAAAGG
rnacentral:sRNA from 1 species